GACGAACGCUGGCGGCGUGCUUAACACAUGCAAGUCGAGCGGUAAGGCCUUUCGGGGUACACGAGCGGCGAACGGGUGAGUAACACGUGGGUGAUCUGCCCUGCACUUCGGGAUAAGCCUGGGAAACUGGGUCUAAUACCGGAUAUGACCUCCUAUCGCAUGGUGGGUGGUGGAAAGAUUUAUCGGUGCAGGAUGGGCCCGCGGCCUAUCAGCUUGUUGGUGGGGUAAUGGCCUACCAAGGCAACGACGGGUAGCCGACCUGAGAGGGUGACCGGCCACACUGGGACUGAGACACGGCCCAGACUCCUACGGGAGGCAGCAGUGGGGAAUAUUGCACAAUGGGCGAAAGCCUGAUGCAGCGACGCCGCGUGAGGGAUGACGGCCUUCGGGUUGUAAACCUCUUUCAGCAGGGACGAAGCGCAAGUGACGGUACCUGCAGAAGAAGCACCGGCUAACUACGUG
rnacentral:rRNA from 1 species